UACGUAGGGAGCAAGCGUUGUCCGGAAUCAUUGGGCGUAAAGCGCGCGUAGGCGGCCCGAUAAGUCCGCUGUGAAAGUCAACGGCUCAACUGUUGGAUGCCGGUGGAUACUGUCGGGCUAGAGUACGGAAGAGGCAAGUGGAAUUCCUGGUGUAGCGGUGGAAUGCGCAGAUAUCAGGAGGAACACCUAUAGCGAAGGCAGCUUGCUGGGACGAUACUGACGCUGAGGAGCGAAAGCGUGGGGAGCGAACAGG
rnacentral:rRNA from 1 species